rnacentral:tRNA from 1 species
AGCGGGGUGGCGCAGAGGUAGCGCGCCAGGCUCAUAACCUGGAGGUCGGCGGUUCGAUCCCGCCUCCCGCAACCA